AAAUUGAAGAGUUUGAUCAUGGCUCAGAUUGAACGCUGGCGGCAGGCCUAACACAUGCAAGUCGAGCGGUAACACAGAGAGCUUGCUCUCGGGUGACGAGCGGCGGACGGGUGAGUAAUGUCUGGGAAACUGCCUGAUGGAGGGGGAUAACUACUGGAAACGGUAGCUAAUACCGCAUAAUGUCGCAAGACCAAAGUGGGGGACCUUCGGGCCUCAUGCCAUCAGAUGUGCCCAGAUGGGAUUAGCUAGUAGGUGGGGUAACGGCUCACCUAGGCGACGAUCCCUAGCUGGUCUGAGAGGAUGACCAGCCACACUGGAACUGAGACACGGUCCAGACUCCUACGGGAGGCAGCAGUGGGGAAUAUUGCACAAUGGGCGCAAGCCUGAUGCAGCCAUGCCGCGUGUGUGAAGAAGGCCUUCGGGUUGUAAAGCACUUUCAGCGGGGAGGAAGGCGGUGAGGUUAAUAACCUCACCGAUUGACGUUACCCGCAGAAGAAGCACCGGCUAACUCCGUGCCAGCAGCCGCGGUAAUACGGAGGGUGCAAGCGUUAAUCGGAAUUACUGGGCGUAAAGCGCACGCAGGCGGUCUGUCAAGUCGGAUGUGAAAUCCCCGGGCUCAACCUGGGAACUGCAUUCGAGACUGGCAGGCUAGAGUCUUGUAGAGGGGGGUAGAAUUCCAGGUGUAGCGGUGAAAUGCGUAGAGAUCUGGAGGAAUACCGGUGGCGAAGGCGGCCCCCUGGACAAAGACUGACGCUCAGGUGCGAAAGCGUGGGGAGCAAACAGGAUUAGAUACCCUGGUAGUCCACGCCGUAAACGAUGUCGAUUUGGAGGUUGUGCCCUUGAGGCGUGGCUUCCGGAGCUAACGCGUUAAAUCGACCGCCUGGGGAGUACGGCCGCAAGGUUAAAACUCAAAUGAAUUGACGGGGGCCCGCACAAGCGGUGGAGCAUGUGGUUUAAUUCGAUGCAACGCGAAGAACCUUACCUGGUCUUGACAUCCACAGAACUUAGCAGAGAUGCUUUGGUGCCUUCGGGAACUGUGAGACAGGUGCUGCAUGGCUGUCGUCAGCUCGUGUUGUGAAAUGUUGGGUUAAGUCCCGCAACGAGCGCAACCCUUAUCCUUUGUUGCCAGCGGUUAGGCCGGGAACUCAAAGGAGACUGCCAGUGAUAAACUGGAGGAAGGUGGGGAUGACGUCAAGUCAUCAUGGCCCUUACGACCAGGGCUACACACGUGCUACAAUGGCAUAUACAAAGAGAAGCGACCUCGCGAGAGCAAGCGGACCUCAUAAAGUAUGUCGUAGUCCGGAUUGGAGUCUGCAACUCGACUCCAUGAAGUCGGAAUCGCUAGUAAUCGUAGAUCAGAAUGCUACGGUGAAUACGUUCCCGGGCCUUGUACACACCGCCCGUCACACCAUGGGAGUGGGUUGCAAAAGAAGUAGGUAGCUUAACCUUCGGGAGGGCGCUUACCACUUUGUGAUUCAUGACUGGGGUGAAGUCGUAACAAGGUAACCGUAGGGGAACCUGCGGUUGGAUCACCUCCUUACCUUAAAGAA
rnacentral:rRNA from 1 species